CCUACGGGAGGCAGCAGUGAGGAAUAUUGGUCAAUGGGCGAGAGCCUGAACCAGCCAAGUAGCGUGAAGGAUGACUGCCCUAUGGGUUGUAAACUUCUUUUAUAAGGGACUAAAUGGAGCCACGUGUGCCUUUUUUCAUGUCCUUUAUGAUUAAGACUCGGCUAACUCCGUGCCAGCGGCGGCGGUAAGACGGAGGAUCCGAGCGUUAUCCGGAUUUAUUGGGUUUAAAGGGAGCGUAGAUGGUUUGUUAAGUCAGUUGUGAAAGUUUGCGGCUCAACCGUAAAAUUGCAAUUGAUACUGGCAGGCUGGAGUACAGUUGAGGUAGGCGGAAUUCGUGGUGUAGCGGUGAAAUGCUUAGAUAUCACGAAGAACCCCGAUUGCGAAGGCAGCUUACUAAACUGCCACUGACAUUGAUGCUCGAAAGUGUGGGUAUCAAACAGGAUUAGAUACCCUAGUAGUC
rnacentral:rRNA from 1 species